rfam:Beta vulgaris subsp. vulgaris contig161257.1, whole genome shotgun sequence.
CAAAAGGUUUUUUUCAGAACCACCAAAACUUGAAGAAAUCGAUAU